ensembl:lncRNA
GUGAAAGUUCAGAGGAGAGAAAUGUUACUUCUGCUGUGUGCUAUUUUUAUUACAUUGACAGGCUGAUACAUUAGCUACAGAGACUAAAGGAGUUACCAGAUUUAGUAACUAAGGCAAGUUUGAAGAAGUAGUGCAUUGUAAGGGCCUUCAGUGCCAGAGCAAGGGGCUUAAAUUUUAUUCAGUAACGCUGACAUUUUUAUGAUAAAAAUAUUUAGGAAGCUGUCUGGCACUAUUGUAUGAUUUCAGAUUAAAAAAUUAUUUUUCUGAUAGGCUUUUGGACACCCCACUUUUGUAUAUAAUAGAUGUGUGUUUAUAAAUAAGUGAAUUAGAAAAUGGGUUUUAACUCUAGCCUAUUUAAAAGGAUGGUCAAAAAGUUAUUUUCAGAUGAAAAUUAGACCCAGUAAAAGAAGCUACUUAGUUAAGAUACAAUCAGUAUAUAAAGUGAAAUAAAAUAUCACUUUUCAUGUUUUUAAAAACUGUUUCUAGGAAUUUUAGUGUCAGCUGGCCAUUCACUUCUCCAACUGAAGCAAUGCUGAAAUCUACCAUUUUAUUUUUCCUUCCAUUUCAUGAAUAAGUAACUAAUUAUAACUAAUUUUUUUUAACUUGGGUAAAAUGAGUAGCUACAAUGAAAAAAGAUUUUUAAUGAAUAGCCCUCAUAGAUGUGUUCUUAUUUUUUAAAUGGAUUUACUUGGCUGUACCAAGUUUUAGUUGUGGCAUGUGGGAUCUUGUUCCCUGACCAGGGAUUAAAACUGGGCCCCCUACAUUAGGAGCUUGGCAUCUUAGCCACUGGACCACCAGUGAAGUCCCCUAGACGUAGUCUUAAUUUUGGUAAAUAUGUGUGUAAUCCUACAAAAGAUUCUGUUUCUCUGCCUUCUUUAACGGAAAAAAUGAAUAGAGUGCCAGCUUACCUCACAGAAUUGUGAGGAUCUAUCCUACAAAAAAGAAGUGCUGGGUAAAUAAUCUGAAAACAUUAACAUUGAUAGAGAAAUGGAGAUUAAAUGCUCUGUUAGCUGAAAUAUCUAUAUAUUGGAAUGACAAUUGUUUAAUAGUAAAGGCUAUCUUUAAAAAAAAGUGUCCUAAUACUAGUAUAUAACAGUGUUGAUCUUAUCUUGUAAUGAUGUCCCAAGUCAUCUGUGUGGUUGCAUCUCAGUUAUUCAUAUGAGAACUUUAACCACUCAGUAAACUUAAUUUACCUACAUUUCACUAAACACACUUUUUAGUCUGUCUUUUGUUAUUCCUCAUGAUAAUUAACAUUGGGUCUGAUGGGUUCAAAUGAGGAAACUUUUUUUUGGUCAGUUCUGUAGAUGUGGUACCUAUUUUGAAUGUUUCAAGUGGAGUUGCUACUACAGAAAUACUUGGGGAUGAGUAUUUUCCUGUGAAUUUUUUUGUUAGCAUAUUAUUUGUAGAAAUAUCCUUUUAUUUCUGCAUCUACCCACAUUUCUCACUUUAUCUAUGGCAUUAGCAAUUCCUUUUUGUUUACUGCAUCAACUGAGACCUUGGAAUUUCAGCACAGCAAGCAUUCCUGGUCUCUUUUCCCAAUUAAUGACUGAACAUUAUGAUAUAUUCUUACCUGUUCCAUGUCUUUUGUUUAUUAGGAUUUGAGUUGUCAUCCAAAAGCCUAUGCACAACUUUCCAAAUUCCUGUUUUUAUUCUAAUUUCUAAGCUACUUCAAAUUUUUGAGGGUCUAAAAAAAAAUCUGAGCAAUCCUAAUGUAACUUAUUUGUAUAAAAUAAUAAAUCAUGUGAUUAUUCCUUUU